AACGAACGCUGGCGGCAUGCCUAACGCAUGCAAGUCGAACGAGACCUUCGGGUCUAGUGGCGCACGGGUGCGUAACGCGUGGGAACCUGCCCUUAGGUUCGGAAUAACUCCCCGAAAGGGGUGCUAAUACCGGAUAAUGUCUUCGGACCAAAGAUUUAUCGCCUUUGGAUGGGCCCGCGUUGGAUUAGCUAGUUGGUAGGGUAAAAGCCUACCAAGGCGACGAUCCAUAGCUGGUCUGAGAGGAUGGGCAGCCACACUGGGACUGAGACACGGCCCAGAAUACUACGGGAGGCAGCAGUGGGGAAUAUAGGAAAAUGGGCGAAGGGCUGAUCCAGCAAUGCCGGGUGAGUGAUGAAGGCGUUAGGGUUGUAAAGCUCGUUUACCCGGGAUGAUAAUGACAGUACCGAGAGAAUAAGCUCCGGCUAACUCCGUG
rnacentral:rRNA from 1 species